UACGUAGGGUGCGAGCGUUGUCCGGAAUUACUGGGCGUAAAGAGCUCGUAGGUGGUUUGUCGCGUUUGUCCGUGAAAACUCACAGCUUAACUGUGGGCGUGCGGGGCGAUACGGGGCAGACUGGAGUACUGCAGGGGAGACUGGAAUUCCUGGUGUAGCGGUGGAAUGCGCAGAUAUCAGGAGGAACACCGGUGGCGAAGGCGGGUCUCUGGGCCGAUACUGACGUGAGGAGCGAAAGCGUGGGGAGCGAACAGG
rnacentral:rRNA from 1 species